CUUCCCUGUGAGCAGGAGGGCAGCUGCUCUCUGCCUGUCUCUGCCUCUCAACAGAGAAGCAAAAGGAUUGCCUCUUUCCUGCAUUUUGAAGAACCUUCCUCCUCAUCCCACCUGAAGAGAGAUAAAUGCCAAAAUCUUAAACUCCAGAAUGUCCCAAGUUGGAAGAGACCUGUAGAAGUGUGGUCAUCUUUGAAGUCUAAUUUAAAUGCAGUUUGCCCACGUUUCCAUGGAAGGCUGAUGGCACCUCUCCUGCCCUCCAAAGCCUGGCUCCAGCAGUCCAUCCCCAGCUGACCCUGUCCCUUCUCAGGCCGCCUGGCCCCACCUCAGAGCCCUUGGCAGCACACCUUGUUCUCAGAGGUGUUUCAG